CCUACCUACACACCUGUUCCCAUCUCCCUCAUUAGAACCCCUGCACACCAGCUCUUUUGCCUCAAUGUUGCCUUAUCAUACCUUGCAGUUGUCACAGCAGACACCAUGGGCACACUCGGCUUCAGCUUUCAGAGUGCAGUUGUUGGCAUUACAGCAGGGGCUGGUGCACUCCUACACAAAGAAGUAACCAUUGCCGCAGCGCUGCCCUCCAUACAUGGCUCUGGUGUUGGGCAAGUUGAAGAGACACUUCCCCCCUCCAGAGCUCAGACUGGUAGUCGGAGCACAUGGCUUUGAGAGGUGCCAGGCCGAUGGUGGUGCCCUGGAAUGACGUCCCCCUGGAG